CCACGACGGAGGGCGUGCGAUCGGCCCGAGGUUAUCUAGAGUCACCAAAGCCGCCGGCGCCCGCCCCACGGCCGGAGCCGAGGGGAGGCUGACCGGGUUGGUUUUGAUCUGAUAAAUGCACGCAUCCACCCGCAAAGGGGGUCAGCGCCCGUCAGCAUGUAUUGGCUC